rnacentral:rRNA from 2 species
CGAACGCUGGCGUCAGGCUUAAAGAGACAAGUCGAGCGGGCGUAGCAAUACGUCAGCGGCAGACGGGUGUACCCACGCGUGGGAACGUACCUUUUGGUUCGGAACAACCCAGGGAAACUUGGGCUAAUACCGGAUAAGCCCUUACGGGGAAAGAUUUAUCGCCAAAAGAUCGGCCCGCGUCUGAUUAGCUAGUUGGUGGGGUAAUGGCCCACCAAGGCUACGAUCAGUAGCUGGUCUGAGAGGAUGAUCAGCCACAUUGGGACUGAGACACGGCCCAAACUCCUACGGGAGGCAGCAGUGGG